rnacentral:rRNA from 1 species
CCAGAGAUGGAUUGGUGCCUUCGGGAACUCUGAGACAGGUGCUGCAUGGCUGUCGUCAGCUCGUGUUGUGAAAUGUUGGGUUAAGUCCCGCAACGAGCGCAACCCUUAUCCUUUGUUGCCAGCGGUUCGGCCGGGAACUCAAAGGAGACUGCCAGUGAUAAACUGGAGGAAGGUGGGGAUGACGUCAAGUCAUCAUGGCCCUUACGAGUAGGGCUACACACGUGCUACAAUGGCGCAUACAAAGAGAAGCGACCUCGCGAGAGCAAGCGGACCUCAUAAAGUGCGUCGUAGUCCGGAUUGGAGUCUGCAACUCGACUCCAUGAAGUCGGAAUCGCUAGUAAUCGUAGAUCAGAAUGCUACGGUGAAUACGUUCCCGGGCCUUGUACACACCGCCCGUCACACCAUGGGAGUGGGUUGCAAAAGAAGUAGGUAGCUUAACCUUCGGGAGGGCGCUUACCACUUUGUGAUUCAUGACUGGGGUGAAGUCGUAACAAGGUAACCGUAGGGGAACCUGCGGUUGGAUCACCUCCUUACCUUAAAGAA